CGGAGCGACGCCGCGUGUGGGAAGAAGGCCUUCGGGUCGUAGACCACUGUCGAAGGGGACGAUAAUGACGGUACCCUUGGAGGAAGCCCCGGCUAACUACGUGC
rnacentral:rRNA from 1 species